rnacentral:rRNA from 1 species
UACAGAGGUCUCAAGCGUUGUUCGGAUUCAUUGGGCGUAAGGGGUGUGUAGGUGGCGCGCUAAGUCGGGUGUGAAAUUUCGGAGCUUAACUCCGAAACUGCAUUCGAUACUGCGGUGCUUGAGGACUGGAGAGGAGACUGGAAUUCAUGGUGUAGCAGUGAAAUGCGUAGAGAUCAUGAGGAAGACCAGUGGCGAAGGCGGGUCUCUGGACAGUUCCUGACACUGAGGCACGAAGGCCAGGGGAGCAAACAGG